GACGAACGCUGGCGGCGUGCUUAACACAUGCAAGUCGAACGGAAAGGCCCUGCUUUUGUGGGGUGCUCGAGUGGCGAACGGGUGAGUAACACGUGAGUAACCUGCCCUUGACUUUGGGAUAACUUCAGGAAACUGGGGCUAAUACCGGAUAGGAGCUCCUGCUGCAUGGUGGGGGUUGGAAAGUUUCGGCGGUUGGGGAUGGAUUCGCGGCUUAUCAGCUUGUUGGUGGGGUAGUGGCUUACCAAGGCUUUGACGGGUAGCCGGCCUGAGAGGGUGACCGGCCACAUUGGGACUGAGAUACGGCCCAGACGCCUACGGGAGGCAGCAGGGGGGAAUAUGGCACAAUGGGCGGAAGCCUGAUGCAGCAACGCCGCGUGCGGGAUGACGGCUUUCGGGGUGUAAACCGCUUUCGCCUGUGACGAAGCGUGAGUGACGGUAAUGGGUAAAGAAGCACCGGCUAACUACGUG
rnacentral:rRNA from 1 species